rnacentral:rRNA from 1 species
GAGUUUGAUCCUGGCUCAGAACGAACGCUGGCGGCGCGCCUAAUACAUGCAAGUCGAGCGAGAAGACGUAGCAAUACGUUUGUAAAGCGGCGAACGGGUGAGGAAUACAUGGGUAACCUACCCUCGAGUGGGGAAUAACUAGCCGAAAGGUUAGCUAAUACCGCGUACGCUUCUUGGACUUCGGUUCAGGGAGGAAAGCGAUACCGUGGGUAUCGCGCUCUUGGAUGGGCUCAUGUCCUAUCAGCUUGUUGGUGAGGUAACGGCUCACCAAGGCUUCGACGGGUAGCUGGUCUGAGAGGACGAUCAGCCACACUGGCACUGCGACACGGGCCAGACUGCUACGGGAGGCAGCAGUAAGGAAUAUUGCGCAAUGGGCGAAAGCCUGACGCAGCGACGCCGCGUGGGGGAUGAAGGUCUUCGGAUUGUAAACCCCUUUCGGGAGGGAAGAUGGAAUGGGGUAACCCAUUCGGACGGUACCUCCAGAAGCAGCCACGGCUAACUUCGUGCCAGCAGCCGCGGUAAUACGAAGGUGGCAAGCGUUGUUCGGAUUUACUGGGCGUACAGGGAGCGUAGGCGGUUCGGUAAGCCCUCUGUGAAAUCUCCAGGCUUAACCUGGAACAGUCGGAGGGGACUGCCGGGCUAGAGGACGGGAGAGGAGCGCGGAAUUCCCGGUGUAGCGGUGAAAUGCGUAGAGAUCGGGAGGAAGGCCGGUGGCGAAGGCGGCGCUCUGGAACGUUUCUGACGCUGAGGCUCGAAAGCGUGGGGAGCAAACAGGAUUAGAUACCCUGGUAGUCCACGCCCUAAACGAUGUCGACUGGUUGUUGGGGGUUUGACACUCUCAGUAACGAAGCUAACGCGUGAAGUCGACCGCCUGGGGAGUACGGCCGCAAGGUUAAAACUCAAAGGAAUUGACGGGGACCCGCACAAGCGGUGGAUUAUGUGGAUUAAUUCGAUGCAACGCGAAAAACCUUACCUACCCUUGACAUGUCCGGAAGGCUGCUGAAAGGCGGCUGUGCCCGAAAGGGAACUGGAACACAGGUGCUGCAUGGCUGUCGUCAGCUCGUGUCGUGAGAUGUUGGGUUAAGUCCCGCAACGAGCGCAACCCUUGUCAUUAGUUGCUACAUUCAGUUGGGCACUCUAAUGAGACUGCCGGUGACAAACCGGAGGAAGGUGGGGAUGACGUCAAGUCAUCAUGCCCCUUAUGUCCAGGGCUACACACGUGCUACAUUGGCGCAUACAAAGGGCAGCAAUACCGUGAGGUGGAGCAAAUCCCAUAAAGUGCGCCUCGGUUCGGAUUGGAGGCUGAAACUCGCCUCCAUGAAGGUGGAGUUGCUAGUAAUCGCGGAUCAGCAAUGUCGCGGUGUUACGUUCCCGGGUCUUGUACACAC